rnacentral:lncRNA from 1 species
UGGUUUUUCAGACACAGAACUGUGAUGUUUGGGGACAGCUGGUGUCCUUAGACCAAAGCCAGCCUAUGUUUGUUGCUUCCAUGUAAGCCUAUAGACUGAGCCAGCCUGGAUGGCAGAGAGGCUAAACUUGGAGAGUAGAAGCUUGUUCCUAAUGAGCUGAGAACAGUAGGACUUGUCAAGAGGGAUUAUUUCAGUGAAGAAUGGAAGUCAGCUUUCAAGGGAG